CUUCAACAUGAAUCUGAAGGGACACAAACGAAGUGAGAGAACCUGAGCCAGAGAUGUCCAGCUAAGUCAUGUUGAGAUUCUUGACCUACAGAAACUAUGAGACAGCUGUAUUGAACGAGAGAUAUGGAAGCAGAAACAUGGAGUUCUGUCAAUUUCUCUUUGUGCAAGCUGUCAAACAGUGCUCAGUCUCUAGCAAUGACAUAUGUUAACUGUGGUCCAAAUGCAGGCAACAUGGAUACAAAAAUGCCUGAGAUGUGAAGUUGAAACUCAGACACCGGUCUCUAGUGACACUGAUCACAUCCCUUUGGAGCUUAGUUCAUCCUUUGGCUAUUCUGUGAAGCUUUUCUUUUCCAUCUAGCCUGAAUUUUCAUGUACCACUAUGUGUAAGAGAACAAAACAAUAACAGAGAAACUGAGGACUUUUCUCCAUGCCACACAGCAAGUCAGUGCCAUGGUUGUGCAAC